ACACACACAUACACUCAGGUUCACACUGACACAGAUACAUAGACAUACACACAUAUACACAGACACACUCAGGUGCAAACUGACACACAGAUACAGACACAUACACACACUGAUACACACAUAGGAGAUACAGGCACAUGCAUUGACAUACAUGAAAAUAUACAGACACAGUUACACACACAUACAUUCACGUGCACACUAACACCCAGAUACAGACACACAGAUACACACACAGGUACACACUCAGGUGCAAUCUGGCACCCAAAUAUACACAGACACACACAUAGAUACACACACAUGCACUCUGAUACAUACACACA